rnacentral:rRNA from 1 species
GACGAACGCUGGCGGCGUGCUUAACACAUGCAAGUCGAACGGAACGGCCCUUUUUUUGUGGUUUGCUCGUGAGUCUAUUGGGUGUGAAUCACGGACGGAUCAUUACCUCGUCUUUGGGCUACCUUGUGCAAGCGGGGGAUAUUACGGAACAGGUGCUCCUACUGCAUGGGGGGGCUGGAUAGCUUUAGGCGGUGUGGAAUGGUCUGGCGGUAUAUCAGCUUGUCGCGUGGGUUGGGCUUGACCAUGGCUUGGAGGGGUAGCCGGCCUGAGAGGGGUACCGGACACAUUGGGACUGAGAUACGGCCCAGACUCCUACGGGAGGCAGCAGAGGAGAAUAGUGCACAAUGGGCGGAAGCCUGAUGCAGCAACGCCGCGUGCGGGAUGACGACAUUCGGGUUGUAAACCGCUUUCGCCUGAGACGAAGCGUGAGUGACGGUAAUGGGUAAAGAAGCACCGGCUAACUACGUG